rnacentral:rRNA from 1 species
CCUACGGGUGGCUGCAGUGGGGAAUAUUGGACAAUGGGCGAAAGCCUGAUCCAGCCAUGCCGCGUGUGUGAAGAAGGCCUUCGGGUUGUAAAGCACUUUCAGUGGGGAAGAAAGCCUUGGGGCUAAUACCCUCGAGGAAGGACAUCACCCACAGAAGAAGCACCGGCUAACUCCGUGCCAGCAGCCGCGGUAAUACGGAGGGUGCGAGCGUUAAUCGGAAUUACUGGGCGUAAAGCGCGCGUAGGCGGUCUGAUAAGCCGGUUGUGAAAGCCCCGGGCUCAACCUGGGAACGGCAUCCGGAACGGUCAGGCUAGAGUGGGGGAGAGGAUGGUAGAGUUCCCUGUGUAGCGGGACAAUGCGUAGGGAUAGGGAGGAAUCCCAGUGGAGAGGGCGGCCGUCGGGACUGAUACUGACACUGGGGUGCGAAAGCGUGGGUAGCAAAAAGGAUUAGAUACCCCGGUAGUC